rnacentral:rRNA from 1 species
UACGUAGGCAGCAAGCGUUGUUCGGAGUUACUGGGCGUAAAGGGUGCGUAGGCGGUCCUGUAAGUAUGGUGUGAAAUCUCCCGGCUUAACUGGGAGGGUGCGCUAUAGACUGCGGGACUAGAGGGUGGGAGAGGAAAGUGGAAUUCCUGGUGUAGAGGUGAAAUUCGUAGAUAUUUGGAGGAAUACCGGUGGCGAAGGCGGCCUUCUGGGCCACCCUUGACUCUGAGACGCGAAAGCGUGGGUAGCAAACAGG